ensembl:snRNA U1 U1 spliceosomal RNA
AUACUUACCUGGCCAGGGAGAGAGAAUGAUCAGAAAGGUGGUUUUUCCAGGGGGAGGCUUAUCCAUUGCACUCUGUAUGUGCUGACCCCUGUGACAUCCCCAAAUGUGGGAAACUCUACUACAGAAUUUGUGAUAGUGGGGGCUGUGUUUGUGCUUUCCCCUG